AUUGAACGCUGGCGGCAGGCCUAACACAUGCAAGUCGAGCGGAUGACGGGAGCUUGCUCCUUGAUUCAGCGGCGGACGGGUGAGUAAUGCCUAGGAAUCUGCCUGGUAGUGGGGGACAACGUUUCGAAAGGAACGCUAAUACCGCAUACGUCCUACGGGAGAAAGCAGGGGACCUUCGGGCCUUGCGCUAUCAGAUGAGCCUAGGUCGGAUUAGCUAGUUGGUGGGGUAAUGGCUCACCAAGGCGACGAUCCGUAACUCGUCUGAGAGGAUGAUCAGUCACACUGGAACGGAGACACGGUCCAGACUCCUACGGGAGGCAGCAGUGGGGAAUAUUGGACAAUGGGCGAAAGCCUGAUGCAGCCAUGCGGCGUGUGUGAAGAAGGUCUUCGGAUUGUAAAGCGCUUUAAGUUGGGAGGAAGGGCAGUAAGCUAAUACCUUGCUGUUUUGACGUUACCGACAGAAUAAGCACCGGCUAACUCUGUGCCAGCCGCCGCCGUAA
rnacentral:rRNA from 1 species